rnacentral:rRNA from 1 species
AUUGAACGCUGGCGGCAUGCCUUACACAUGCAAGUCGAACGGUAACAGGUCUUCGGAUGCUGACGAGUGGCGAACGGGUGAGUAAUACAUCGGAACGUGCCCGAUCGUGGGGGAUAACUACUCGAAAGAGUAGCUAAUACCGCAUACGAUCUACGGAUGAAAGCGGGGGAUCUUCGGACCUCGUGCGGACGGAGCGGCCGAUGGCAGAUUAGGUAGUUGGUGGGAUAAAAGCUUACCAAGCCGACGAUCUGUAGCUGGUCUGAGAGGACGACCAGCCACACUGGGACGGAGACACGGCCCAGACUCCUACGGGAGGCAGCAGUGGGGAAUUUUGGACAAUGGGCGAAAGCCUGAUCCAGCAAUGCCGCGUGCAGGAUGAAGGCCUUCGGGUUGUAAACUGCUUUUGUACGGAACGAAAAGACUCCUUCUAAUACAGGGGGUCCAUGACGGUACCGUAAGAAUAAGCACCGGCUAACUACGUGCCAGCCGCCGCGGUAA